GGAAGGAUCAUUAUUGAAAUAAACCUGAUGAGUUGCUGCUGGUUCUCUAGGGAGCAUGUGCACGCUUGUCAUCUUUAUAUCUCCACCUGUGCACCUUUUGUAGACCUGGAUAUCUCUCUGAAUGCUAGCAUUCAGGUUUGAGGAUUGACUUCCUGUCUUUCCUUACAUUUUCAGGCCUAUGAUUCUUCAUAUACCCCAAUGUAUGUUAUAGAAUGUAAUACAUGGGCCUUUGUGCCUAUAAACCUAUACAACUUUCAGCAACGGAUCUCUUGGCUCUCGCAUCGAUGAAGAACGCAGCGAAAUGCGAUAAGUAAUGUGAAUUGCAGAAUUCAGUGAAUCAUCGAAUCUUUGAACGCACCUUGCGCUCCUUGGUAUUCCGAGGAGCAUGCCUGUUUGAGUGUCAUUAAUAUAUCAACCUCUUCAGCUUUUUGCUUGUCGAGUGUUGGAUGUGGGGGUAUUUUUGCUGGCCUCUCUUCUGAGGUCAGCUCCCCUGAAAUGCAUUAGCGGGACAAUUUGUUGACUGUUCAUUGGUGUGAUAACUAUCUACGCUAUUGACGGGAAGCAGUUCAGCUUCUAACUGUCCAUUGACUUGGACAAAUUUUCAUUAAUGUGACCUCAAAUCAGGUAGGACUACCCGCUGAACUUAAGCAUAUCAAUAAGCGGAGGAAAAGAAACUAACAAGGAUUCCCCUAGUAACUGCGAGUGAAGCGGGAAAAGCUCAAAUUUAAAAUCUG
rnacentral:rRNA from 1 species